AAUGUACUCCCUCCGUCCGAAAAUACUUGUCGGAGAAAUGGAUGUAUGUAGACAUAUUUUAGUUUUUGAUACAUCCAUUUCUCCGACAAGUAUUUCCGGACAGAGGGAGUAAGUA
rnacentral:pre_miRNA from 1 species